UACAGAGGGUGCGAGCGUUAAUCGGAAUUACUGGGCGUAAAGCGCGCGUAGGCGGCUUUUCAAGUCGAUUGUGAAAUCCCCGGGCUUAACCUGGGAACUGCAGUCGAGACUGUCUAGCUAGAGUAUGGGAGAGGGAAGUGGAAUUUCCUGUGUAGCGGUGAAAUGCGUAGAUAUCGAGAGGAACACCAGUGGCGAAGGCGAGUCUCUGGACGACUCCUGACACUGAGGCACGAAAGCGUGGGGAGCGAACGGG
rnacentral:rRNA from 1 species